rnacentral:rRNA from 1 species
GACGAACGCUGGCGGCGCGCUUAACACAUGCAAGUCGAACGGAAAGGCCUGCUUUCCCUUGUGGAUUGCGGGUACUCGAGUGGCGAACGGGUGAGUAACACGUGAGUGAUCUGCCCCCAACUUGGGUAUAAGCCUGGGAAACUGGGUCUAAUUCACGAUAGGACUGCAGGGUGGUGCCUGUGGUGGAAAACGAUUUUCUAGUGGUUGGGGAUGAGCUCGCGGCCUAUCAGCUUGUUGGGGGGGUAAUGGCCUACAACGGCGGCGACGGGUAGCCGGCCUGGGAGGGGGGACGGCAACAUUGCGACUGAGACACGACCCCGACGCCUACGGGGGGCAGCAUUGGGGAAGAUUGCACAGUGAGCGGAAGGCUGAAGCAGCGACGCAGCGUGGGGGAUGACGGCCUUCGGAUAGUAAACUCCUUUCGACCGCGAGGAAGCCACCUGGUUGGAAGGGUGGUGACGGUAGUGGUAGAAGAAGCACCGGCUAACUACGUG